rnacentral:rRNA from 1 species
UACGUAGGUGGCAAGCGUUGUCCGGAAUUAUUGGGCGUAAAGCGCGCGCAGGUGGUUCUUUAAGUCUGAUGUGAAAGCCCACGGCUCAACCGUGGAGGGUCAUUGGAAACUGGGGAACUUGAGUGCAGAAGAGGAAAGUGGAAUUCCAAGUGUAGCGGUGAAAUGCGUAGAUAUCUGGAGGAACACCGGUGGCGAAGGCGGCAUCCUGGACCGGCAUUGACGCUGAGUGAGCGAAAGCCAGGGGAGCAAACGGG